ensembl:lncRNA
GUGCUGUGAGAGCCCAACGAUGUUCAGGCCAAACCAGCUAUUACACCAUGAGCGUAAAGUAUUUGGACAGUAAAGCGUUUUGAAAUACCUCCUGCUAGGACAUUUGGAAGAAGUUAAUGUGAAGAAAAAAAUAUUAUGAGUUAAUCAAGCGAUUUCUCCAGAAGAGGUAAUUGUGUCUGCCUCGUGGAAUGGGGCAGAAGAAAAUCGAACUACGCUGAAGGCCAGUUGUGUGUCCAUGAAGAGAAACUGAGCAAUGGAAACACCAGGAGACGCUCCAGAGGGACAGAGACACAUCCGUCGGGAGAGACCUCCAUCACCUGCACCCACUUGUGUAUCCAUGAAGAGUGACCUGUCAGAAGAUCGGCACAUCAACUUCCAGAAUGAAGAUGGUACAAAUGCAUCAAGGCAAGUCCAUGAAACAGACUCAUGUCAAGGACACGUCCGUCAGGAGAGACCUCCAUCACCUGUGCCCACUUGUGUGUCCAUGAAGAGUGACCGGUCGAAAGAGGACCUCAUCAACUUCCAAAAUGAAGAUGGUACAAAUGCAUCAAGGCAAGUCCCUGAAACAGACUCAUGUAAAGGGUAUGCUAGGAAGGGUAUGUUAGGAAGCCAACAAAUAGUGAA